GUAGUCACAGCUGCAGCCAUUGACAUCUGGUUACCGCCCCGUGGAAAAAGGGGAUGGAGCGCUCGCCUCUCCCUCCAGGCUCUCAAACGCUGAACUUUAAUGAUAUUAACUGAAAAUAGAAGGUGGAUUAGCAAGACUGACAGGUCAACAAGGAGGAGUUACCAGGAUUUCCAGAUAACAGACCUUCAUUAUCAAUAAGCCAGCAUUUCAAAAUUUAGUGUAUAAAGGGAAUACCAAGGAAUGAUGUAAUCUAAAGGACUCAAUUGUGUAAAUCAGUGUUCUCUUCAACUGUAUUUUCUGUAGAGGAGAUAAAUGAGACUGAAGAUUUAUCCUGCAGAGAUAAGCAAUAACAGGAGCUGGAAUUCUUGGACGAUAGUGGGAAAGAAAAGACCAACAAAGUGAAAGAGAACUGCCAGGAUG